ACUACGGGAGGCAGCAGUGAGGAAUAUUGGUCAAUGGGCGGAAGCCUGAACCAGCCAAGUAGCGUGCAGGAUGACGGCCCUACGGGUUGUAAACUGCUUUUAUACGGGAAUAACGCGCCUUACGUGGAGGGCUUUGCAUGUACCGUAUGAAUAAGGACCGGCUAAUUCCGUGCCAGCAGCCGCGGUCAUACGGAAGGUCCGGGCGUUAUCCGGUUUUAUUGGGUUUAAAGGGAGCGUAGGCCGCAUGUCAAGCGUGCUGUGAAAUGUCCGGGCUCAACCCGGGCCUUGCAGCGCGAACUGGCGUGCUUGAGUCCGCGGAAAGCAGGCGGAAUUCGUCGUGUAGCGGUGAAAUGCUUAGAUAUGACGAAGAACCCCGAGUGCGAAGGCAGCUUGCUGCAGCGGAACUGACGCUGAUGCUCGAAAGCGCGGGUAUCGAACAGGAUUAGAUACCCCAGUAGUC
rnacentral:rRNA from 1 species